ACCACUGAGCUAAAUCCCCAGCCCUAGUGAACUAUUUUUUAAAGUAAAUGUCAAGGGCUGGGGAUUUAGCUCAGUGGC
rnacentral:pre_miRNA from 1 species